CUAGCGGCAGGCCUAACACAUGCAAGUCGAGGGGUAACAGGGUAGCAAUAUCGCUGACGACCGGCGCACGGGUGAGUAACGCGUAUGCAACCUUCCUUUAACUGGGGCAUAGCCCGGAGAAAUUCGGAUUAAUACCCCAUAAGAUCACAGAAAGACAUCUUUUAGUGAUUAAAGCUCCGGCGGUUAAAGAUGGGCAUGCGUGCCAUUAGCUUGUUGGUGAGGUAACGGCUCACCAAGGCUACGAUGGCUAGGGGGUCUGAGAGGAUGAUCCCCCACACUGGUACUGAGACACGGACCAGACUCCUACGGGAGGCAGCAGUGAGGAAUAUUGGGCAAUGGGCGCAAGCCUGACCCAGCCAUGCCGCGUGAAGGAUGAAUGCCCUAUGGGUUGUAAACUUCUUUUACACGAGACGAAACUUCCAGUCGUGACCGGGAUUGACUGUAUCGUAUGAAUAAGCAUCGGCUAACUCCGUGCCAGCAGCCGCGGUAAUACGGAGGAUGCAAGCGUUAUCCGGAUUCAUUGGGUUUAAAGGGUGCGUAGGCGGAAUAAUAAGUCAGCGGUGAAAGCCUGCGGCUCAACCGUAGAAUUGCCAUUGAUACUGUUAUUCUUGAGUAUAGUUGAAGUGGGCGGAAUGUGUAAUGUAGCGGUGAAAUGCUUAGAUAUUACACAGAACACCAAUUGCGAAGGCAGCUCACUAAGCUGUUACUGACGCUGAGGCACGAAAGCGUGGGGAGCAAACAGGAUUAGAUACCCUGGUAGUCCACGCCGUAAACGAUGAUCACUCGUUGUUGGCGAUACACCGUCAGCGACUGAGCGAAAGCAAUAAGUGAUCCACCUGGGGAGUACGGUCGCAAGACUGAAACUCAAAGGAAUUGACGG
rnacentral:rRNA from 1 species